UACGUAGGGGGCUAGCGUUGUCCGGAUUUAUUGGGCGUAAAGAGCGUGUAGGCGGCCAGGUAGGUCCGCUGUGAAAACUCGAGGCUCAACCUCGAGAUGUCGGCGGAAACCGUCUGGCUAGAGUCCGGAAGAGGAGAGUGGAAUUCCUGGUGUAGCGGUGAAAUGCGCAGAUAUCAGGAAGAACACCUAUGGCGAAGGCAGCUCUCUGGGACGGUACUGACGCUGAGACGCGAAAGCGUGGGGAGCGAACAGG
rnacentral:rRNA from 1 species